ACCUGAUGCAGCGACGCCGCGUGAGGGAUGACGGCCUUCGGGUUGUAAGCCUCUUUCAGUAGGGAAGAAGCGAAAGUGACGGUACCUGCAGAAGAAGCGCCGGCUAACUACGUGCCAGCAGCCGCGGUAAUACGUAGGGCGCAAGCGUUAUCCGGAAUUAUUGGGCGUAAAGAGCUCAUAGGCGGUUUGUCGCGUCUGCUGUGAAAGACCGGGGCUCAACUCCGGUUCUGCAGUGGGUACGGGCAGACUAGAGUGCAGUAGGGGAGACUGGAAUUCCUGGUGUAGCGGUGAAAUGCGCAGAUAUCAGGAGGAACACCGAUGGCGAAGGCAGGUCUCUGGGCUGUAACUGACGCUGAGGAGCGAAAGCAUGGGGAGCGAACAGGAUUAGAUACCCUGGUAGUCCAUGCCGUAAACGUUGGGCACUAGGUGUGGGGGACAUUCCACGUUUUCCGCGCCGUAGCUAACGCAUUAAGUGCCCCGCCUGGGGAGUACGGCCGCAAG
rnacentral:rRNA from 1 species